rnacentral:rRNA from 1 species
GACAGGCGCUGCAUGGCUGUCGUCAGCUCGUGUCGUGAGAUGUUGGGUUAAGUCUCGCAACGAGCGCAACCCCUAUCCUUAGUUGCCAGCAUUAAGUUGGGCACUCUAGGGAGACUGCCUGGGCUAACCAGGAGGAAGGUGGGGAUGACGUCAAGUCCUCAUGGCCCUUAUGUCUAGGGCUACACACGUAAUACAAUGGUGCAUACAAAGGGAAGCGACCUCGCGAGAGUGAGCAAAUCUCAAAAAGUGCAUCUCAGUCCGGAUUGGAGUCUGCAACUCGACUCCAUGAAGUUGGAAUCGCUAGUA